AUACGGAGGGUCCGAGCGUUAAUCGGAAUUACUGGGCGUAAAGCGCGCGUAGGUGGUUCAGUCAGUCAGAUGUGAAAGCCCCGGGCUCAACCUGGGAACUGCACCUGAUACUGCUGAGCUAGAGUACGGUAGAGGGCAGUGGAAUUUCCGGUGUAGCGGUGAAAUGCGUAGAGAUCGGAAGGAACACCAGUGGCGAAGGCGACUGCCUGGACUGAUACUGACACUGAGGUGCGAAAGCGUGGGUAGCAAACAGGAUUAGAUCCCCUGGUAGUCCACGCCGUAAACGAUGUCAACUAGCCGUUGGGGGACUUGAUCCUUUAGUGGCGAAGCUAACGCGAUAAGUUGACCGCCUGGGGAGUACGGCCGCAAGGUUAAAACUCAAAUGAAUUGACGGGG
rnacentral:rRNA from 1 species